rnacentral:lncRNA from 1 species
UUCCUCUUUAACUUAGUAUGUGCAUACGAGCAUGGCAAGUGCCUGUUGAAAGCUAAUUUCGCUUUAUGUAUAUCCAAAUCGUGUUUUGUCUUUUGUUCGUCAUGAAAAUUCUUUGUUGCGUGAGAAAACUUAUUUGUGUGUUGGGGUCUAAUGUGAUUUUCUUGCUUGCUAAAAAGGGGUUUUGUUUAGUUUAAGGUAACAAAGCUUUAAGAUUAAUGGUUCGAUCUGAACAUUUGGUAAAGAUUUAGAAGAAAAUAAGCUCGAAUUCGUGUUUAAGAUGCAUAUUAGGGUAGAGAUAUUGACCCAUUGGAGAGGGCUGCGGCGCCACCAUCCCUCUCUAGAGAAACCAAUGGAAGAAGAUGAUCGGAGCGGGUAGAGAAAGAAGAGCGAGUUUGGGUUGUAAGAGAGAAGAGAGAAAGAGAGAGAGAGUUUUUUCGUUGUCUUGCUGGUGAAAUUACUUUUUAAGACUCAUUAUUUCUCAAAUUCCAUGUCUAAAAAAAUAUUUAAUGAACGAUGCAACGUGUGGAAAUUUGGUUCCUUGCUGACCGUUUUUCUCCAUUACUUUGUCUUAUUAAGAGAGGGCUUUUAAUUCGCAAUAAUUCUGAUUCAAUAUGCCGUCAGCUACUGGUCUUUCCAAUGGACUUUUUGGAUUCCCCAUUCAAUGCCAUUGUUUGUAUGCCACGAAUAACUUAUUGAAAGAGAGAAGGUGUGGCCGACUACCUCAUUCCCUUCCGUCUUUUUUAGGGUUUUUCGCUACCUGGGUUGGGCUUGGGCCUUCGACCCAACCCGAUGGACAGAGGUAGCGCCAUUGAGCCUCAUGGGCCCUUGUGGUUUGCUACUCUUGGGCAAACCCCCAUUUUAUUGCAUACCCUGUUUUAUUUUAAUUAUUUUAUAUUUUAUUCGCCUAUUUUAUAUUUUAAUUUUUUGAGUAAGAUGAUAAUAUUAAUAUUAGUAAAUAAAGAUACAUUAUUUUCUCAACUAAAUAUUUUAUCCUUGUUUUAUUUUAGUUGUUAUACUUACAUUCUUUAGGAUAUUACAAUUAAAAAAUUAGUUAAUUGUUGAUAUUAAUAAAUGGACAAGUCAUUAUACUUUAUUGUAAAAAUAAUUAAACCUUGGUCCAACACCAAGUAAUCUUUUUCAAAUACGAUUAACUCUUUGAAAUUGAAUUCAAAAUCUUUUUUCGAUACGACUUCUAAGAACAUUUUUAUAACUUAAACUAUGGAUGAAAAGGAGUAUAGUAAGCGUCCGCUUCACUAUAUCUCGAGUAUUCAAACAAUUGGCGUUCGCCAUAUUGUUCGAAUUCUCGUCGUCUAAUUAAAACCCUAAAACUUACAAAUUCAAACCAUUUUCCGAAUCAAAUAUAACUUCUAAAGAAUAUUAUUUCACAAUUUAAACUUCAGAUGAAAAAGAGUAGAAGAGGCGUUCGCUUCGCUAUCUCUCGAGUAUUCGAAUGAUUGGUGUUCGCCAUAUUGCUCGAAUUCUUGUCUCCCGAUUAAAACCUUACCAAAUUCGAAUUCAAAUCAUUUCUUCCAAAUUAAUAUAAUUUCUAAGAAUUUUAUUUUAGUUAAACUUUGGAUGAAAAAGAAUGGGAGGCGUUCUCCUCACCAUCUCUCAAAUAAUUGAAUGAUUGGCGCUCGCCAUAUUGCUCAAAUUAUUGUCUUCCGAUUAAAACACACUAAAUGAACUUGGAUAAAGGAAUGGGUGGCGCACGCCUCAUUGUUCCUUGAAUAAGCAAGUGGGAGGCGCACACCUCACUACAAUGCAUAUUCAAUUUCUGCAAAUACUUUUUAAUAAUAAUGUGAACGAAAAAGGAAAUAAAAGGCGUUCGCCUUGUUAUUCCUUAAAAGAAUUGAAUGAUGGGUGUGCACCAUAUUGCUCAAUCUUUUGUCGUUCUUCUUCAAAAUACCAAAUAUAUUAAACCUAAUUUCUCGCCCCCGUGCGACCAACAACUUAAAUCUUUUUAGAAAGAAUACUGUUUAAUCCUUUCUAACGCGUACAACAAACUAGUGCUUAAGCCUCCGCAGAGAGUAGACAAGCCAACGUUUAGCCUUUAGGAUGCGAUCUAAACAGUCGUUCAUAAAAGACACCAACAAACCGUAGUUCCCCGAACUACGAAUGAUCUGAUUUUCUUAUUGCACUAUAAGGAUACGUAGGCACGAGAUUGCGAGAUCUUGGUGAGCACACUAAUAAAAAACCUCCCUUUUCCCCCUUCCGAGGUUUCCAUCCAUCUCUAUUUUUAAUCCUUUAUUCAGUCGAAGAAAACAAACAACAUUCAGGUAACCUUCAAAUCAAAAAUUAGAACUAAAAGGUUCCCGUUGAGUACAACGGACGUGAGGGGUGCUAAUACCUUCCCCUUGUGUAAUCGACUCCCAAACCCGAAUAUGGUUGCGACGACCAUUAUUCUAUUUUCAAAGGUUUUAUCGAUAUUUUCCUAUUCCUUCAUUGGAAUAAAUAAAGUUUGGUGGCG